rnacentral:rRNA from 1 species
AUUGAACGCUGGCGGCAGGCUUAACACAUGCAAGUCGAGCGGGGGAAGGUAGCUUGCUACCGGACCUAGCGGCGGACGGGUGAGUAAUGCUUAGGAAUCUGCCUACUAGUGGGGGACAACAUCUCGAAAGGGAUGCUAAUACCGCAUACGUCCUACGGGAGAAAGCAGGGGAUCUUCGGACCUUGCGCUAAUAGAUGAGCCUAAGUCGGAUUAGCUAGUUGGUGGGGUAAAGGCCUACCAAGGCGACGAUCUGUAGCGGGUCUGAGAGGAUGAUCCGCAACACUGGGACGGAGACACGGCCCAGACUCCUACGGGAGGCAGCAGUGGGGAAGAUUGGACAAUGGGGGGAACCCUGAUCCAGCCAUGCCGCGUGUGUGAAGAAGGCCUUAUGGUUGUAAAGCACUUUAAGCGAGGAGGAGGCUACUUUAGUUAAUACCUAGAGAUAGUGGACGUUACUCGCAGAAUAAGCACCGGCUAACUCUGUGCCAGCCGCCGCCGUAA